rnacentral:rRNA from 1 species
GACCUGGGGUAGCCGGUCCGCCUUGCAAAAGGUGCGCACUGAGCGGCCUCGGUCAUCCUUGAGAAGAGCGGUCCUGGCAUUCAGUUGUCGGGGUCGGGAUUCUCGACGUUUACUGUGAAAAAAUCAGAGUGUUCAACGCAGGCUUACGCCUUGAAUACAUUAGCAUGGAAUAAUGAGAUAGGACCUUGGCGGUCUAUUUUGUUGGUUUGCACGCCGAGGUAAUGAUUAAAAGGGACGGUUGGGGUUCUUCGUAUUCAAUUGUCAGAGGUGAAAUUCUUGGAUUUAUGGAAGACGAACUGCUGCGAAAGCGUCGAACAAGGACGUUCUCAUUAAUCAAGAACGAAAGUUAGGGGAUCGAAGAUGAUUAGAUACCAUCGUAGUCUUAACCAUAAACUAUGCCGAUUCAGGAUUGGCGGUCGUUUGUUCUCGACUCCGUCAGCACUGUAUGAGAAAUCAAAAUCUUUGGGUUCCGGGGGGAGUAUGGUCGCAAGGCUGAAACUUAAAGAAAUUGACGGAAGGGCACCACCAGGAGUGGAGCCUGCGGCUUAAUUUGACUCAACACGGGGAAACUUACCAGGUCCAGACAUAGUAAGGAUUGACAGAUUGAGAGCUC